rnacentral:rRNA from 1 species
GACGAACGCUGGCGGCGUGCUUAACACAUGCAAGUCGAACGGAAAGGCCCUGCUUUUGUGGGGUGCUCGAGUGGCGAACGGGUGAGUAACACGUGAGUAACCUGCCCUUGACUUUGGGAUAACUUCAGGAAACUGGGGCUAAUACCGGAUAGGAGCUCCUGCUGCAUUGUGGGGGUUGGAUAGUUUCGGCGGUUGGGGAUGGACUCGCGGCUUAUCAGCUUGUUGGUGGGGUAGUGGCUUACCAAGGCUUUGACGGGUAGCCGGCCUGAGAGGGUGACCGGGCACAAGGGGACUGAGAUACGGACCAGACUGCUACGGGAGGCAGCAGUGGGGAAUAUUGCACAAUGGGCGGAAGCCUGAUGCAGCGACGCCGCGUGCGGGAUGACGGUCUUCGGGGUGUAAACCGCUUUAGCCUGUGACGAAGCGUGAGUGACGGUAAUGGGUAAAGAAGCACCGGCUAACUACGUG